UUGUUCGGAGAGUUUGAUCUUGGCUCAGGACGAACGCUGACGGUGUGCUUUAGACAUGCAAGUCGAGCGAGAAAGCCCUUCGGGGUUAGUAAAGCGGCGAACGGGUGAGUAACACGUGG
rnacentral:rRNA from 1 species